AGUGUAUGUGUGAAUAUAUACUAAGCAAAUAAUCCAAAGCCAUAAAAAAGCUUAGAGAAAUUUUAGGUAAGUACGGGGACAGAAGUGCAAGUGACUGGUGCAAAUAGACUUUUGCAACCAAGGCAGGUUUUCUAGCCUGGCUUUCCAGAAUUUUUAUGUCAUUCCUUGAACAAGGAGCCUUCACAGCAUUGCUGAUUUAUUCUAAGAAUAGAAAUUAACAAAGGAGAUCCUUUAACCAAGUUAUAAAUACUAAAAAGGAAGAUUUUUGUCAGUCUUUAGUAGGUGAAUCUCCCUUAUCACUCAUUCUGAUGUGCUUUUUAAUAUUUACUUUUAGUUUUUCCAAUAUUUAUAAUUUUUCUGGAGACCAAAGACACAAAUUUAGACACAGGAACACACUUGACAGACUGAAUCAUAAGAUAGUUCCUUAGCUGCCCAUCCUUUUUUCCUUUUUAGGCAGUUAUCAAGCAGCCUUCCAUUGCCAUUAGAUUGUAGUAAUCGAUAUAGUCAGAAUGUUUCAAAUUUCCUAGGAGAGAAAAAAUAAAUAACAUAAAGAUGGAGGUGAAAGCCAUCAUUUCAUUUAGUGCAUCUCGAUCAUCAUACACUUGUUGAUCACAGAUGUUUCAAAAAUUUAGUCCCACAAUAAGCUUUAUUCUUCAAAACGUACAGAAAAAAAGUUGAGACUUUAGCUAUGGAAGGGAAGGCUAUUGAUUCCCAGCGAGAUCUGCAUCAUUAGGGAGGCUUCUUAAACUACUGGAGGGUCUUUUCUUACCUUUAUCUAUCCUCUGAAAAGUUCUCAUGAGUAACCAGGAUCCUCUGGUGGCUGACUAGGUGACCUGAAGACCAGACUGAAACAAGUGUGAGAAGUGCAAAUUCUUCAUGCUGUUGGUCCAUAUUUGAUGUGGAAAGUCAUUAAUAAUCUUUAGAAAACAAUACCUAUGUGAGUGAGAUCAAGCUGGUGAAGUAGAAAGACCCUAGACUUAUCUUUUCCCAUGGACACACCAAAAUACAACUACUCACAAAGCAAUUAUCUUUGAGAACGACCUGAAGAGUAUCAGAAAAGACUUUCCACAACUACAGAUAUAAAGAAGGAGCCACAACAAGACAAGUAGGAGGAGCAGAGAUACAGUCUAACUGGGACCCAUAACCUGAGGUUGGCCACCUACAAACAGGAGGAAUAUCACAAGCAUAGAAGUCCUCCUCCAGGAGACAGGGGUUUCGGCCCCCACAUCAAGGUCUCUAUUUUGGAAGACCCACUACAAUCUGUGAAUUAAUGAGAAAACUGAUUUUUGGUUGAUAAAAAGCUCUUGGGAUUUUGAAUUUCCCCAACCAUUCUUACCAAAUUUUGAUUUUGUUGGAGGACUUCACUGAAAACCUGCCAAACCCCUGCACAAGGUCAACCGAAAACCAAAGCUUUUAUCACUCAUGGUGGUGGCAAUGGCAUUCCUGAAGCCAUUUACCAUAUGAUUCCCAUGAUGGGACUCCCUAUGUUUGUUAACCAACCCAAUAAUACAGCUCACAUGGAGGCCAAGGGAAUAGCUACUAGACUUGAACACAAUGUCAAGUGCAGACUUGCUCAGUGCACUGAAGACUGUCAUUUAUGACCCUUUAAAGGAAAUGCUAUGAAGCUAUCAAGAAUUCACCAUGAUCAACCUGUAAGACCCCUGGACUGAGCAGUCUACUGGACUGAGUUUGCCAUAUGCUACAAAGGAGCCAAGCACGUGUGGCCAGCCACCCACAACCUCACCUGGUAGUAGUACCACUCACUGGACGUGAUUGGGUUCCUAUUGGCUUGUGUGGCAACUGUUGUAUUUGUCAUCACAAUAUGCUAUCUGUUUUGGUUCUGGAAGUUUGCUAAAACAGGAAAGAAGGAGAAAAGGGAAUAUCUGUAUCUGAGAACUGGAGCAAGUUUACUCCAUAGAUGAAACUCGUCCAGCAAGAAGGAGUUAUGAUAAGGAUCCUAUCCUCUUGUGACAAAACAACUUUUCACAAUUCAGUACCUCAGAUUAAAGUUUAUUUUCAAGGGAUUUUCUUUUUAAGAGUUGAAAUAUGUCAUGCCAAGAGAAAAGCUCAUGAAAAAUAAAAUAAACAUGAAACUAUAUGGGUCUAUGUUGAAAUUUAUUUUUUUAAUUCAAAAGUUAUAUUGAAAAGAAACAUUUGAACAUAAUAGUGUUUUUCAUGUUGUGUAUAGACAGAAG
ensembl:lncRNA